CAAUUCGUGAAAGAAAGAAAGAAUACCGGUCUCUCUCAGCAGUUAUUCUUAAAUACGAAAGAAAGACAAUUCGUGAAAGAAAGAAAGAAUAAACGACACAUGUGCUGCAGGACCCAAUGACAGGUGAGAAAGCAAGGCGACAAAGCCACUGAUUUCGCCAUGACCAACAGCAACAGCUAGAGAGGAAGCCGAGGCGUGCUGCGUGCAGGCGGCCGGGGGCCUUCUCCACGCUUCCCUCCAUGAGACCGGAUCUGCUCCUCACACUUGGCGCCCAUUUGUGAGGAGCAGAUCCCGUCACCUGUUGAGAUGUCAACGUGUCUGGCUGAUUCCGUGUCUUUAUAUUUUCUAUCGUCUCUCUAAAACAACGAUGAUAUUAUUGGGGACGAUGAAUUAUAUAUGUCAGUGAGCUUGAUGCUUCGAAGUCGAGAAUACUCAAUAUCUGUUACGUGUCGCUGUGUAGAGGGGGGUAAAGGGGAGGGGCAUUGAUGAGGUCCGUCCGGCCUACUAGUUGUUUGAUAAAAUGUCAGAGUUGAGGUGAGGGCCUCCAAACUCCAACGGCCUGCAUCAUGUCCAUGUGGCUAGCAGUCGCAAAGCAUUGUAAAGUGUUUGUUCCAUAUAUAUAUGUUUAUGCUCAAUAAGAUGGCACAUGGAACUCAUGUCCCCAUCACUUUGGGUGACAUCUUCUUUCGUGGAGCCUGCGGGCUGAAGGCUGUCACAUCCAUUAGAUUCUUUCUCAAAUGUGUUUAUUCCACGUACAAGAAGAUAAUGUUUUAUUUCCCUAA